CCCCUGCUCAGGCUUUUUGUUUUUCAACACCACAUUAAUUAUGUAUGGGAGAUUUGACAGAUAGGUAUGGGCUGGGUUUUGGGUCAAAGCAAAGACGCGUUAGGCUAAUGCGUGUUUCUUUUAAACACGCGAGAGGCUAAUGCGUGUUUCUUUUAAACACGCGAGAGGCUAAUGCGUCUUUCCCAUGAUGGGAAAUGUUUUUUUUCCAGGUACAAAUGGCGGAUAACUUUCCCCAUAACGUCCUUUCGUGGAAUUUAGCCAUGGUUGUGUAGUGGUUCUACAUGGAUGGAAAGGAAAUCAUUGUGUGUUACCUCUGGGAUGGUGGUUGUUAAGCCUUGGUGUAGAAGAUUUGCUGCUACUCUUACUGUUUCUUGCUCUCAAACUCUCGCCAAAGCUACUGGAAAAACAGGGUAUGGAAGAAAGGUGUACAACAAAGUAUGUAGGGCUGUUAAGUGGUAAUCUGCAGAGCUGCUGUAGCUGAAAAAGGGCAGGCGUUGCAGGCUGAAAAGAGGGCUGAUCUUGUCCUAACCAGCCUUUGGUUAAGGCUGGGGAGAGUGCAGGAGUUGCAGCCCUCCAUCCUCCCUAUUUUGGCAACUUUUAGUCUCCUCAAAAAGAGAUGAAGAAGUAGUUGGCUGGAAUACGGCCUCUCACAUCACGGUUCGUUGCUCUUGGCCCGAAGGCCGAUCGAAGACUAGGUUGUGGUGCGAUGUGCCUUGGCUCGGGAAGACUCAAGCAUUAGCACUUAAUAUUCCUUGCGUUGUCUUCCUUCCUUUUCAUCAUUGUACACUUGUAAGCUAGAACGUAGUUCGGGCUGUAAAACUUUGUAUUUUAUCCGCUUAAGAAAUAAAUAGACACAUUCCCUUUA